AGGAAGCGACUUAGUCAAAAGUCAAACAAAACGAUCACAAAACAAACAAUAUGAACUAAAAACUACAAUAAGACCAAUAAGUACAGCAUGCGUGUAAGCGCGGAAAUUUCCCACAUUCGGCAGGUGAACAAAUGGUGUAAACUCGUACAAUUUUUAUAAUGUUCAUCUUAUUUCAUACCAAACACAAACGAUCUAUUGGCACUUUGAUUACAUUAUUGACAUGAAGUCGUGAAAGUAUUUUUAGAGAACGAGGGCAGAAAGGGUUUGGUAUCGUAAUUAUAAUGAAAUUAGUUUUCUACACAUACACUUCUAUUAUCGGUAUUAUUAACACCUUGGUCAAGGUUGGAAGAGAUUACAAUAACUGGAUGGAUUAAUAAUAGGCAAAAUACAAAUUGAUGAUUGUUUGCGUGGGCGUUAUCUCCACAUCGUGCGCUUGUACUGCGUGCCGGGUGGGAACAGCAGUGUCCGUGAACUUGCCCUUAUCCAUCAAUGUGCAUCACGUUCACGCCGAGUCUGUACGUAUAUAUCGAUACAGAAAAUACAAUGAAACCUCACAACUUUCAACGUUCGGGUUGCGCGUCUCGUUAGUAUGAUUGGAUUCCAUUAUUAAUGCGUUAUGGAAUGCUAAGGGUGGCAACAUUUCACUACUGUUUUUACUGGCGUGAGCUUAAACUGUCACGUGUAUGGAUUAAAUUAUUUGAAAAAUCAAUUGAUGUGAAAAUAACCAGCUCAAACAAUCGGACCUAAAAACAUGAAUAUUUGAGCUUUUCAUGCUCUAUCCGUCACGUGUGGACAAUCAUCAAAUUAAGUGAAGAAAUAAAUUAGUUUGCGUGUGUGCCGGAAUUGGAACCUUCUUCGCGCACGCAAGAUCCGCCACCGGCAAAGGAUUUAUAUAAUCAUAGCUUGGUUGUGAUGGGCCACCAUUAAUUUUGUCCGGUCUCUCUUUAUAGCCGAAUUAAUGUUUGCGGAAUAAAUAAUAUAAACAUG